rnacentral:rRNA from 1 species
AGUGAACGCUGGCGGUAGGCCUAACACAUGCAAGUCGAACGGCAGCACAGUAAGGGCUUGCUCUUACGGGUGGCGAGUGGCGGACGGGUGAGGAAUACAUCGGAAUCUACUUUUUCGUGGGGGAUAACGUAGGGAAACUUACGCUAAUACCGCAUACGACCUACGGGUGAAAGCAGGGGAUCUUCGGACCUUGCGCGAUUGAAUUAGCCGAUGUCGGAUUAGCUAGUGGGCGGGGUAAAGGCCCACCAAGGCGACGAUCCGUAGCCGGUCGGAGAGGAUGGUCGGCCACACUGGAACUGAGCCACGGUCCAGACUCCUACGGGAGGCAGCAGUGGGGAAUAUUGGACAAUGGGCGCAAGCCUGAUCCAGCCAUACCGCGUGGGUGAAGAAGGCCUUCGGGUUGUAAAGCCCUUUUGUUGGGAAAGAAAAGCAGCAGGUUAAUACCCCGCUGUUCUGACGGUACCCAAAGAAUAAGCACCGGCUAACUUCGUG